rnacentral:Y_RNA from 1 species
GGCUGGUCCAAGUGCAGUGGUGUUUACAACUAAUUGAUCACAACCAGUUACAGAUUUCUUUGUUCCUUCUCCACUCCCACUGCUUCUCUUGACUAGCCUUUA